rnacentral:rRNA from 1 species
GACGUAGGGCGCGAGCGUUUGUCCGGAUUUAUUGGGCGUAAAGAGCUCGUAGGCGGCUUGUCGCGUCGUGUGUGAAAUCUCAGGGCUCAACUCUGACAUUGCAUACGAUACGGGCAGGCUUGAGUUCGGUAGGGGAGACUGGAAUUCCUGGUGUAGCGGUGAAAUGCGCAGAUAUCAGGAGGAACACCGAUGGCGAAGGCAGGUCUCUGGGCAUUAACUGACGCUGAGGAGCGAAAGCAUGGGGAGCGAACAGG